AAGUCGUAACAAGGUUUCCGUAGGUGAACCUGCGGAAGGAUCAUUACCGAAGUCAAUAGAGUUUGAGACUGCGUCUUAUGGCGUGUGCUCGCUCUUACUCUUCCUAUCCACACCUUUGUGCACCAUGGGACGAAACAAGUCCCCUUUAUUAAUACCUAGUUAUAUGUAUGUCUUUAUAUACUCUAAGGAGUUAAUACAACUUUCAACAACGGAUCUCUUGGCUUUC
rnacentral:misc_RNA from 1 species